rnacentral:rRNA from 1 species
CAUGCAAGUCGAACGGAACUGUUUUGAAAGAUUUCUUCGGAAUGAAUUUGAUUUAGUUUAGUGGCGGACGGGUGAGUAACGCGUGAGUAACCUGCCUUCAAGAGGGGGAUAACAUUCUGAAAAGAAUGCUAAUACCGCAUGACAUAUCGGAACCACAUGGUUCUGAUAUCAAAGAUUUUAUCGCUUGAAGAUGGACUCGCGUCCGAUUAGUUAGUUGGUGAGGUAACGGCUCACCAAGACCGCGAUCGGUAGCCGGACUGAGAGGUUGAACGGCCACAUUGGGACUGAGACACGGCCCAGACUCCUACGGGAGGCAGCAGUGGGGGAUAUUGCGCAAUGGGGGCAACCCUGACGCAGCAACGCCGCGUGAAGGAUGAAGGUUUUCGGAUUGUAAACUUCUUUUAUUAAGGACGAAAAAUGACGGUACUUAAUGAAUAAGCUCCGGCUAACUACGUGCCAGCAGCCGCGGUAAUACGUAGGGAGCAAGCGUUGUCCGGAUUUACUGGGUGUAAAGGGUGCGUAGGCGGCUUUGCAAGUCAGAUGUGAAAUCUAUGGGCUCAACCCAUAAACUGCAUUUGAAACUGUAGAGCUUGAGUGAAGUAGAGGCAGGCGGAAUUCCCCGUGUAGCGGUGAAAUGCGUAGAGAUGGGGAGGAACACCAGUGGCGAAGGCGGCCUGCUGGGCUUUAACUGACGCUGAGGCACGAAAGCGUGGGUAGCAAACAGGAUUAGAUACCCUGGUAGUCCACGCUGUAAACGAUGAUUACUAGGUAUGGGGGGUCUGACCCCUUCCGUGCCGGAGUUAACACAAUAAGUAAUCCACCUGGGGAGUACGGCCGCAAGGUUGAAACUCAAAUGAAUUGACGG